CCUGUUGAUCCAGUGGAGGUAUGAUUCUGGGGUGCUCCUGGCCUUAUAUUUGGGGGAGAAUGUUGUCGCAUGCUCUGCAAGUCUUGCACUCAUUGAUUGGUUAGAGUUUUGCCAUGAUAACACGGCUGCUCUUACUCUUUCUCUGAGCUCUGGGAUCACAAUGGAGCUCUUACCAAGAGCAACCUUGCAAACUUUGAGUUACUUAAUACAUUGCCACAUGAUGAC